rnacentral:rRNA from 1 species
UACGUAGGGCGCAAGCGUUGUCCGGAAUUAUUGGGCGUAAAGAGCUCGUAGGUGGCUUGUCGCGUCGGGUGUGAAAGCUUGGGGCUUAACUCCAGGUCUGCAUUCGAUACGGGCUGGCUAGAGGUAGGUAGGGGAGAACGGAAUUCUUGGUGUAGCGGUGAAAUGCGUAGAUAUCAAGAGGAACACCUGAGGUGAAGACGGGUUGCUGGGCUGACACUGACGCUGAGGCGCGAAAGCCAGGGGAGCAAACGGG